rnacentral:rRNA from 1 species
AUGCUUAGCCAUAAACUCAGAUAUUUUAUACACAAAAAUAUCCGCCAGAGAACUACGAGCAAAAUGCUUAAAACUCUAAAGACUUGGCGGUGCCUCAAACCCCCCUAGAGGAGCCUGUUCUAUAAUCGAUAAUCCACGAUUCACCUCACCAUCUCUUGCCAAUACCGCCUAUAUACCACCGUCACCAGCCUACCCUGUGAAGGAUAUAAAAGUAAGCAAAAUAACUAACAACAGCUAACAAGUCAGGUCAAGGUGUAGCUAACUGAGAUGGAAGAAAUGGGCUACAUUUUCUAAACUAGAAAUUAUAUCACGGAAAGAACUAUGAAACAAGUCCCAUAAGUAGGAUUUAGCAGUAAACAGGGAUCAGAAUGCCCAAUUUAAGCCGGUCCUAAGGCACGCACACA